GAUGAAGAACGUAGCGAAAUGCGAUAAGUAAUGUGAAUUGCAGAAUUCAGUGAAUCAUCGAAUCUUUGAACGCACAUUGCGCCCCCUGGUAUUCCGGGGGGCAUGCCUGUCCGAGCGUCAUUACAACCCUCAAGCUCAGCUUGGUGUUGGGCCCCGCCGCCCCGGCGGGCCCUAAAGUCAGUGGCGGUGCCGUCCGGCUCCGAGCGUAGUAAUUCUUCUCGCUCUGGAGGUCCGGUCGUGUGCUCGCCAGCAACCCCCAAUUUUUUUUAGGUUGACCUCGGAUCAGGUAGGGAUACCCGCUGAACUUAAGCAUAUCAAUAAGCGGAGGA
rnacentral:misc_RNA from 1 species